UGUGAAUUCAUGGUUGAUAUACUGUUAUGGUCAUAUUUGUCACCAAAAUAGUUUACACUCGAUUUUUACUAAACUUUACACGUUUUCUCUUUUUUAAACGGAAGGUUCUUGCAACCAAAACAAUGUAGAAUCAGUCAAAUAGAUAGCGUCAAGCAAGUGGUGCAUGUGGUGAAUCAGGAUAACUCAACACUGUUGGAUCAGUGGUCAGUGAGUUGAUUCUGCACAAUGAUUGAUCAACUAAUCAAAAUGUGGUAUGCCCUUAUGAUCCUCUGCUUCUUCUGUGGAUCGUAGAAACUAGUGAAUUGCUGCCACACACUUGUAUGGUCAUGGAUUGGGCAAAUGUGCAAAGACUGUGUGCCUCCAUUUAUGUCUUUCUAUUCGAAAGUAUUCACUAACUCAGCAGCUGUUCCUGCAAAACAAGAACAAGUACUUGUGCCAAGUACUUUGGCUCUCUUCAUUUGCCUGUUCUUCAUCACAAUACUCCCCUCCUCUGUUGUAAUUGUGAUUUGCUCAGCAUCUCACUUUUUUUUUCACUUUUGAUUGCUUGAGAAUAUUUUGAUCUAGAAAUGAUAUUUUUUGUCAUGUUUAAUGUGGAGCCACCAGCAUUGGCAACAAUACAUGGAAGUUCUUAUAUCAAGCUCAAGCCUGAAUAGAGAGGGUAUUUCAUCGUCGGUAAGGCUAAGUUUGAUUCCCAUGAUUUCAAUCCUGGC